rnacentral:piRNA from 1 species
UGCCACGAAAUAUUUCACCUGGAUGGA